UGUGAAAAGUACCUUUCCUUCAAAUAACAAACCACAAAUGUCCAACCAGCGAUGGAGGAUGAAUUGGAGAGAUUGCUGUUCACCCGACCCUAGGACUGGACCUGACCUUGGAAGCUGACUGCCUCCAGGAUGUGCAAGUGGUGGCCAUAGCAGCUUUUCAAACGGACCCCAAAAGGUUGGCAAUCCCUGGAUUACACUGAGAGAAAUCCAUCUGAUUUCAAGCGUGCUCAGCGGCAAUAGCUUCUCACCUACCUUCUGGUUCCUGUUGGCCCAACGUGAGAGGCCGCUCUGAUAAUAGAAGCUGAAAGGAUUUUUUCCUGUUCCCAGGCAUCACUUGAAGGAAGAUCCUGAAGAGCGCCACAGCUUGAAUAGUUAGCAGAGCUUUUCAUGUACUAACUGAAAAUGUACUGUCUCAGUCUCGUGGCAUUUGGCCAGAAAGCAGCAGGGUUCUAAAUCAGCAACAAUGAGAGUAAACUUCUCUUUUCAGUUUGGGCAGGGAUGUCAAAAUGUAAGCAGUUCUCCAGGAUAAGGCAGAUAAUUUCAGUGGCAUAUGUCUCAGCUAAUUCCGAUCUCUCAAAAUACCACUUGCAUUUAUGAGGCAUUAUCUGUAGAAAUCUAACCUCUCAAGGACGUCAACCCAGGGAAACAGAUGGCUUGCAACUGCAUGUUUAAUCCUCAAAUCAAAUAACAGAAUCAGCACUUCAGAACGACUGCUUAUAUAGACACUUUUGUCAGGCAAUGUGGCUUAUAGCUGUCCAUCUUGCGAAACGGGGCCCAAGCGAGUGUGUUGAUGUGCAGCCAAAGAGCAAAUUUGAAAAGCAAUUGGCUUCAAAGUAUGACUCAUGCAUUUCCUGUCAGAGCCCAGGUGAAAUCAUUUUGCCAAACCUCUUCAGCGUGAGCGCAGCACGCAGCUACCAGCUCAUUGACUAUUCCCCUUAAUUGAUUCUGAAACAAUAUGGAAUAUGCAAACACACAAAAGACUCCAUGGAAAAGAAGGUGGUAAGUCCCCAGUUGAUACCAGCGGGCUUUGCAUUGUCAUUUUUUGAUAAGGGUGAGGAAACUGUGUGGCUAAUGGGCAUUCUGGAAAUCACCAGAAUUUAGUUAUUAUUUCUACAUUUCAUUUACUAAAUUUAUAUCCCACAGUUCUUCCCAAAGGAGCCCAGAGCAGCACCAUACAAGCAAUAUUGUAGAAUAACUGAGAUGCACACACAUCACAAAAAAAAAUCAGAUAGAAUUACUCAUGUGUAAUAAAAUAAACUGGACACUGAGGGCCUUCUGGCAGUUCCCUCCCUGCGAGAAGUGAGGGUACAGGGAACCAGGCAGAGGGCCUUCUUGGCAGUGGCACCCACGCUGUGGAACACCCUCCCAUCAGAUGUCAAGGAAUUAAACAACUAUAUGACUUUUAGAAGACAUUGGAUGGCACGCCUGUAUGGGGAAGUUUUUAAUGUUUGAUGUUUUAUUGUGUUUUUAAUAUUCUGU